rfam:Dipodomys ordii contig_56056, whole genome shotgun sequence.
UAGCUUAGUGGUAGAGUGCUUGCCUUGCAUGCAUGAGGCCCUGGGUUCAAUUCCUCAG